GCCAGAGCAAGAGUGAAUACUAAAAAAAAGUUUUUACAAGAUUCACAGAUGAACUUGAGUCGAGUCAAUCUGGUAUAUGACUGAUGAUUGAGUUUGACAAGUUCUCCAUAAGAACUCAUGAUAGAGAGAUUGUAUCACACAACAACUGCACCUAGGAGUUCAUCUUUUUCGUUCUACUGGGUUGCCACUACAUGCUGUUAGGUAUCACUGGUGAAUCAUGAGAACUCACUAGAAUUAUUUUUGGAUCA
rnacentral:lncRNA from 1 species